rnacentral:lncRNA from 1 species
AUUUGACAUGAUCUUCCUUUACCACUACUUCAAUCCUCUCGUCAAUUAUUGACCCAUCAUCUUCUUCACUAGAAUCCUCCUCUUCUCCGAUCUGUUCUUAAGGGGCGAACCUUGGAGGAGCAACAAAAUUUGUUGCCAUGUAAUCUAAAGGUCAGCGUUUCAAGCCAUAGAAACAUAUGCAGGAAUAUCAUGUGAAGUUGCUUAGUGUUGAUUGCGAAUAGGAAGCUUGCUCACUUAGGACCGGACGAGGCCUUAGUAAAUUAAUAACGAAAAUAGACUGUGUUUGACUUGUUUGUUUAACUUAAGACAAUGUUUAAUAUUUAAUGAAAUGAAACUCUUCGUAUCCAUGGUUUGAAACA